ACUUCAACCAGGACGUUUAUCUCAGUUGAUUCACCCAUGCUGGUGUUAAAUCUUCUGCUUCAUGCACACUGUUGAUAAAUUAAAGCAAAGACAGAAAAACAAAAGCAAAGUUAGGAGAGUCAAUGAUGGUGACAACUCAAGGGAACUGAGAGAUGGCUCUAGUGAUUUAAAUAGCUUGCAAAGCUCGGGCACGAGGCAGCAAUCGCAACAACAACUAAUUUACAGUAGAUGCAGUUAUCCAGAGCGACUAACAGGAGUAAAUCGGGCAGAUUAUAAACUUCCCAAAAUAUUCAGGACAUCAGCAGGGCUGAGUGUAAAAGCAGGAUGACCAGUCCUAUUGUCGAGCCAUACUGGGCAACAGGAGGUAUGUCAACAAUGUUUAUCAACAUAAUGGAAUAUUGUAUAUGUGCAUGUGCUUAUUGGCAAUGAAUUGCGUGGUGGGAAGACAAUAUCAACAAUUGACACAGACAUUUGAUAUGGUGAAUAAUAUUAGACCGACACAAAGGCUGUCAGUUUAUUUCCAGGCCAAGUUUCUGUGCUGUGUUUUGUUUUUUCAAGGUGUGUCUGGUCUGCCCGGCAUCAUCUUUCCCCGGGAGUAAAGUGGGCCAACAGAAAAGUACUCAGAACAGCCUGAAAGUGAAGCCUGGGGAUGGAGUGACUCUUCACUCCCUGAAAGGGCCUGUGUUACAGGCAGAAGAUGUGCAUCUCUCCACCAGAUGGAAAGAUCCCACUCUCUGGAAACUUACUCUCCCUGAUGUAUUUUGGCGGAGCGUGUAGUCUGCGGGUGACGGGGGUCGACGGCCACUCCCUGGAGAGACCACUGCCUACCCCGGGACUGGAGCCUGAUACAGAGGAGGCCUUUGACGAGCUCAGCCCUGGGCUCCACCUCCGUCCUGGGCUCCACCUCCGUCCUGGGCUCCACCUCCGCCCUGGGCUCCACCUCCGCCCUGGGCUCCACCUCCGCCCUGCGCUCCACCUCCAUGGACCUGAGGUGCAGGCCAGGGAUCCGGCGCAGCCUGGUCCUGCAUCCAGUACCCCAUGCAGGCCCGCCUGUAUGCCCUGUGUCCCUGCAACCCCCAGACUUCCACUGAUUCUGAGCAGGGCAUUCUCAGUCUAGAGGUGGAGAAUAAGGUGAAGUUCAGAGACAGGCACAAAGAGGCUCAAGAGGAGGAGUACGGCAGCCCUGAGCCCUGAGGUCUAAAGUCAUAUAUACAGUAUGAUCCCGAGAGAGACUUCUCCAACUACGGAAUCACACCUCCUAGGGGGGUUCUCCUUUAUGGCCCCCCGGGAACAGGAAAGACUAUGAUUGGAUGAGCCAUAGCCAAUAAGGUCGGGGCACAUAUGACCGUAAUCAACCGUCCAUAAAUCAUUAGCAAAUUUUAUGGUGAAACAGAGGUCAGAUUGAGGCAGAUAUUCACAGGAGCCUCUCAAAGCGAAUCAGUCUAAUGAGAAAAAGAGACCGCAGGCCCACGAUCAGAGAUGGCUCGACAGCCGCCCUCCACCCCUUUAGAGAACACAGGGAGCCUGGGAAACCCAUCACCGAUGGUCGCCAUGACGUGCCAAAUUGGCAUCAUGUUAUGGCCAAGUAUAUCUUCAUCUCCCCAGUCCAGCUCCUUGGUGCAGAUGGUGCACUGAAGCAGCUGCUCUCCCUCCUGCUAUCUGUUUUCCAUACCGAUGCUAAGUCUUGUUGUAUAAUCCAAGGUCACCAACCACCAAGGGCCUGCUGCUGUGGAAUGUGGCGAAAGCACUUCCUGCUCCCAGAAUUCUUGUCUCUCCACUCUCACUGUAGUUUAUUUGUGUUUUGGUCCAUCUGCUGGGCCUGUGGUAUAGGGGGAGGUGGAAAUAGCUUUAUUUCUCAGCCGGACCACCCAUUUUAGAACAUAGUACACGGAGCUCUGUUAGAAUAUUAAAAUUGUAUUGCCAGAUAAUGCCUGAUAGUUUCAGAAGAUGUAAACCAGUAAUUUAUUAAGCCUUCAGACACAUUUAUUGUGUGGAAAUGUCCUUUAUGUUUGAGCUUUUGGUGUCGGGGUCAUUGGUUAGGACUAAGAUUAUUGAUUAAUAAUUUAUUACACCUACAUGCUCAAAUUCAAGUACAGUCAUACUACCUUAAAAGCAUACUUGCUUCAUCCUACUGUUCCAAUUGCUCUCUUACAUUAACACCCCUCAUUUAGUGAUUUAACGCUUGUUUUACCAGGGAAGUUGACUGAAAGUUGAGCGCACAUUCUCAUAACACUGUAACAUUCCUAACUGUCCUGGUUUGUCUCUUCCUCCAGGAGGGCCACUCAGGCCAGCUGCUGAUCCUAGGGGCCACCAACCGGUCCCACGCCCUGGACCCAGCUCUCUAAAUCAAAAUGUAUUUGUCACAUGCGCCGAAUACAACAGGUGUAGACCUUAACGUGAAAUGCUUACUUAC